rnacentral:rRNA from 1 species
UACGUAGGGACCAAGCGUUGUUCGGAUUUACUGGGCGUAAAGGGCGCGUAGGCGGCCUUCUAAGUCAGACGUGAAAUCCCCAGGCUUAACUUGGGAACUGCGUCUGAUACUGGGAGGCUUGAGUGCGGGAGAGGGAUGUGGAAUUCCAGGUGUAGCGGUGAAAUGCGUAGAUAUCUGGAGGAACACCGGUGGCGAAGGCGGCAUCCUGGACCGAUAUUGACGCUGAUGCGCGAAAGCCAGGGGAGCAAACGGG